GAACGAGAAAGCAGGAGCAAUCUUGUGAGUAAAGUGGCGACCGGGUGAGUAACACGUGACUAACCUGCCCUUGAGUGGGGGAUAACCUCGGGAAACCGGGGCUAAUACCGCAUAAUUUCACGAGGUGAAAUUCCUUGUGAUCAAAGGAGCAAUUCGCUGAAGGAGGGGGUCGCGGCUGAUUAGCUAGUUGGUGAGGUAACGGCCCACCAAGGCGAUGAUCAGUAGCCGGCCUGAGAGGGCGCACGGCCACACUGGAACUGAAACACGGUCCAGACUCCUACGGGAGGCAGCAGUGGGGAAUUUUGCGCAAUGGGGGAAACCCUGACGCAGCAACGCCGCGUGGAGGAUGAAGUCCCUUGGGAUGUAAACUCCUUUCGAUCGGGACGAUUAUGACGGUACCGGAAGAAGAAGCACCGGCUAACUCUGUG
rnacentral:rRNA from 1 species